CAGCAGGCGCGAAAACUUUACAAUGCGGGAAACCGUGAUAAGGGGACACCGAGUGCCAGCAUCAUAUGCUGGCUGUCCAGGUGUGUAAAAUACACCUGUCAGCAAGGGCCGGGCAAGACCGGUGCCAGCCGCCGCGGUAACACCGGCGGCCCGAGUGGUGAUCGUGAUUAUUGGGUCUAAAGGGUCCGUAGCCGGUUUGGUCAGUCCUCCGGGAAAUCUGACGGCUCAACCGUUAGGCUUUCGGGGGAUACUGCCAGGCUUGGAACCGGGAGAGGUAAGAGGUACUACAGGGGUAGGAGUGAAAUCUUGUAAUCCCUGUGAGACCACCUGUGGCGAAGUCGUCUUACCAGAACGGGUUCGACGGUGAGGGACGAAAGCUGGGGGCACGAACCGGAUUAGAUACCCGGGUAGUCCCAGCCGUAAACGAUGCUCGCUAGGUGUCAGGCAUGGCGCGACCGUGUCUGGUGCCGCAGGGAAGCCGUGAAGCGAGCCACCUGGGAAGUACGGCCGCAAGGCUGAAACUUAAAGGAAUUGGCGGGGGAGCACAAGGGCGAAUCG
rnacentral:rRNA from 1 species